rnacentral:rRNA from 1 species
GAUGAAAUAGACUCUGAAAUUAUAGGCCUGUAGCGAAUGGGAGCUCCACUUCGGUGGGGUGACCAUGUGCUUUUUGUAGAACGAGCCAACGAGUUAGCUGUAUCGGGCAAGGCUAAGGGAGUUAAAACCCGGAGCCGUAGCGAAAGCGAGUGCGAAUAGCGCGUUCUAGUGACUACUUUAUGACCGCCACUUUGUGUUUAGUAUUUUAUUUAAAAUUUAGUUUUAACCUGAAUUAUUAUGAGUUACAAAGAUUUAAAUGUUUAUCAACGGGCCUACAAAGUGGCCAUCGAUCUUCAUCACACGAUAGAAGAUCAACCCAAGCUGGUGCCUUCCAUGCGCCAGCCGCUCGAAACCCUCUCGCGAGGCGUUUUGGCCAACAUUGCGGAGUCGUUUGCACAACGCACCGUCAAGGCCAAGCGUUUCUUUAAUUUUAAAGCGCGAGACAUGAUCCGGGCGAUUCAAAUGGAUCUGGAUUUUUUGCACGAUCUUAAACUGAUUCCCCAAAAAGCGUACGAGCUUUUUUAUUCGGAAUACGAGAUCUGCAGCAAACAGCUUUACAAGCUGAACGAAUCCAUUUUAGAGAAUCAAGACUCUAAAAGAACGGAAAAAGUCGCGGUUGCGGCCUAAUCCGUAAAAAGGGUGGCGGUCAGAAAGUAGUCACUAGUCAGUCCGAUGCACUAUACCCGAAACCGAGUGAGCUAUCCAUGGGCAGGCUGAACCCGUCUUAACUGGCGGGGGAGGGCCGAACCAUAGAGUGUUGCAAGACUCUGGGAUGACCUGUGGAUAGAGGUGAAAUGCCAAUCGAACUCGGAGAUAGCUGGUUCUCCUCGAAAUAGCUUUAGGGCUAGCCUCGAGUAAUUGUUUAGCGGAGGUAGAGCACUGUCAAGGCUAGGGGGCGAAAUAAGUCUACCAAACCUUAAUAAACUUCGAAUACCGUUAAAUUUAUCUCGGGAGUCAGACGGUGACAGCCAAGUGCCAUCGUCACAAGGGAAACAGCCCAGAUCGUCUGCUAAGGUCCCCAAUAUAAGUUAAGUGGCAAAGGAUGUGAGAUUACUCAGACAACCAGGAGGUUGGCUUAGAAGCAGCCAUUCCUUUAAAGAGUGCGUAACAGCUCACUGGUCUAUUCCCGCUUCGGCGGGGUGAUCUUGCGCCGAAAAUUCAACGGGGCUCAAACUUAUAACCGAAGCAGCGGAUGUCAUUGAUUUUAUCAAUGACGUGGUAGAGGAGCGUUCCUGUCAGCAGUGAAGUCGCAUCGUAAGGUGCGGUGGAGCGGCAGGAAGUGAGAAUGUUGGCAUGAGUAACUUGAAUGCUGAUGAAAAAUCAGCACACCGAAAGCCCAAGGUUUCCCACGCAACGGUAAUCGGCGUGGGGUUAGUCGGUCCUAAGGCGAGGCGGAAACGCGUAGCCGAUGGACAACAGGUUAAUAUUCCUGUACCGGUUUUGAACCGACCAAGCGAACCAUGGCUGAAUGCCCGAUCCUUCUUUCGUAGACUUCGGUUUACGGAUGAAGUUUGGGACUAGGCCUGGCAAGCUAGCUAAGGAGGGACGCAGCAUGGUAGCGGGGGCCUACCCAUUGAACAUGGUAGGUGCAAGCGUUUAGGGGAGUUUCCGUAGGUAAAUCCGCGGAAACGUUAUACCUGAUACGCGACGCAAAAUGUCCGCCGCAAGGCGGAGGAUUCCCGUAAUCCAAGCUGCCUAGAAAAUCUUCUAGCGAGGUUCAGAGCCGACCGUACCGCAAACCAACGCAGGUGGGCAAGAAGAGUAUUCUAAGGUGAUCGAGAAAACUAGCGUUAAGGAACUUUGCAAUAUAGCGUCCGUAACUUCGGGAUAAGGACUGGUCGCCGCAAGGCGACCCGCAGCGAAAGACUCCAGGCGACUGUUUAUCAAAAACACAGGUCUCUGCUAAACCGUAAGGUGAAGUAUAGGGGCUGAUGCCUGCCCAGUGCCAGAAGGUCACGAGGAGGGGUUUACGCCCUGAAUCCAAGCCCUGGUGAACGGCGGCCGUAACUAUAACGGUCCUAAGGUAGCGAAAUUCCUUGUCGGGUAAGUUCCGACCCGCACGAAUGGUACAACGGUCUGGAGACUGUCUCAACGCUAGACUCGGUGAAAUUGCAGAAUCGGUAAAAAUGCCGAUCAACUACGGCAGGGCGAAAAGACCCUAUGAAGCUUUACUAUAAUUUGACAUUGAAUCGAGAUUUACUUUGUGUAGGAUAGGUGGGAGACUUUGAAGUCCUGGCGCUAGCCGGGAUGGAGUCAACGUUGAAAUACCACCCUGAGUUGAUUUUGAUUCUAACUUCUCCCGUCAUCCGGGAAGAGGACAGUGUUUGAUGGGUAGUUUAACUGGGGCGGUUGCCUCCUAAAAUGUAACGGAGGCGCGCAAUGGUCCGCUAGGUCUGGAUGGAAAUCAGACUGAUAGUGUAUUCGCAGAAGCGGGCUUGACUGUGAGGGUUACAACCCGAGCAGGUGCGAAAGCAGGCGAAAGUGAUCCGGCACCUUGAUCUGGAAUUUAUUUCGGGUCGACCACGUGGGUGGGGUGUCGCUCAACGGAUAAAAGUUACUCUAGGGAUAACAGGCUGAUCGAGCCCAAGCGCCCACAGCGACGGCUCGGUUUGGCACCUCGAUGUCGGCUCAUCGCAUCCUGGGGGUGGAGAAGCUCCCAAGGGUUUGGCUGUUCGCCAAUUAAAGCGGUACGUGAGCUGGGUUCAGAACGUCGUGAGACAGUUUGGCCUCUACCCGCCGUAGUCGUAGGAAAAUUGAGGGGAUUUGCUCCUAGUACGAGAGGACCGGAGUGAACAAACCUCUGGUGUACCAGUUGUCGCGUCAGCGGCAUUGCUGGGUAGCUAUGUUUGGUUGUGAUAACCGCUGAAAGCAUCUAAGCGGGAAGCCUCACCCAAGAUUAUUUUCCCCAUUAGGCCUGAAGGAGACUACUUCGUUGAUAGGCAUCAGGUAUAAACCCCGUAAGGGGCGCAGCCGAGAUGUACUAACAGGCCGAUAGACUUUUUAU